UAAUUAGUGACGCGCAUGAAUGGAUUAA
rnacentral:piRNA from 3 species